AGGGAACUGAGCAAGCAAAGCAAAGCAAUGAGAUUUAUAAAACCAGGACUUCACCGUGGUGGAACAGGCCUGUAAUCCAAGAUUCCUUUGGCGAUACUCAAGACUCAAGAAUUCAUGAUGCAAGCCCACUCUACCAAUCUGUGUGGCCUCAUUCUCUGGGCUGAUCUCAUGAGGACAAGCCAUGUUGCUAUUCACACCAAACAACUGGCAAUAAGCUAAAAGCAACCAAAGAAUAAACAGCAAUGCAGGACAAUCCUGUUUCUUCAAGCCUGAAAAAUUCUAAAAUGUGCUAAGAUGCUCAAAGUCUGUUUUCAGAGAAUCUUGAUGAUAUAGUACAAGUGAUUGGUAUGUGGUAGA